GUCCGUUGCCCUCGCGGUGUCCAUUCCGUAACUGUUCUCACAAGACAAAACAGCCUGAGUUGUUUACAGCCAGCAACUCUUCCUGUCUAAGAGCGGUGUCUCCCGUUGGGUUUCCCUAGUGCCUCACCUUGGUCCAGAUGGCUGAAGGGGACCGUUUCCUGUGGCCUUUUCGCACUGUUCUAGGUGUUAACGAUCCCCCCGCCCCGCCCCUACUGACUUCCUCAUCCUAGCCUUUUAUUUCUUUUGUGCCUGGCCUCUAAUUUUACAAUACUAUGGGGAGAAAUGUCUCUGAAGUUUUACUUCAGCCUGAUAUGUAUAAGACAAGCCUUCAAGAGUUUCCAAAAUCAUAAAUACAUUGCUUUGUGAGUCUCUUGUUGGAAGGACUGUCUUUAAAUUAAAGCAAUUAGAGUUACUUUAUGAGAUUUACCCAAAUAUAAGAGCUGAAGAGAAUAAUUCAAAUUGAUCAGAAGAAAAUACUCAAUUACUGACAAAUGUCAAUUACAUCAAUAGCCUAGGCUGCUCUUGAACUCCUGGGCUCAAAGGAUCCUCCCCCGCUGGCCUCCCAAAGUGCUGGGAUUACAAGCAUGAACCACCAUGCCCAGCCUCAGAAGUUUUUUAAAUGAUAGCUCAUACAGUUUUCUUUUAUAAAGUAUAGACAACUUGACACAGGCAGAAGAAAAAUAUCUUCUCAAGAUGCAGCUUCACAAUCUUCAGAGUUACUGAUAACAUACAAACCAAACUACAGAUGAUUUCAGAACUCUCCAUCACUUUAAUAGAAGUGCCAACGAAAGUAUAUUUAUAUCAUAUCUCUAUCAAAAAUAUUUCUAAUUUAAUAGACGCUUUAAAUAAUGAUUGGUUUUGUAAUUCCCUUGAGGAGGAAGUAACCAGUAUAGAAACAAACAUAAAAAUAGGACAUUCACUUUGAUCAAACACCUACUGGAAAGUGGUCAAGAAUUAGAGAAAAUCGUAAUGAAACAAAUUUGCCAAUUUGACAUCAAUUGUGGUUAAGGUAGAGA